rnacentral:rRNA from 1 species
GUGGGGAAUAUUGGACAAUGGGCGCAAGCCUGAUCCAGCCAUGCCGCGUGAGUGAUGAAGGCCCUAGGGUUGUAAAGCUCUUUCACCGAUGAAGAUAAUGACGGUAGUCGGAGAAGAAGCCCCGGCUAACUUCGUGCCAGCAGCCGCGGUAAUACGAAGGGGGCUAGCGUUGUUCGGAAUUACUGGGCGUAAAGCGCACGUAGGCGGAUAUUUAAGUCAGGGGUGAAAUCCCAGAGCUCAACUCUGGAACUGCCUUUGAUACUGGGUAUCUCGAGUAUGGAAGAGGUGAGUGGAAUUCCGAGUGUAGAGGUGAAAUUCGUAGAUAUUCGGAGGAACACCAGUGGCGAAGGCGGCUCACUGGUCCAUUACUGACGCUGAGGUGCGAAAGCGUGGGGAGCAAACAGGAUUAGAAACCCGUGUAGUCC